CUGUAGUCUGNAACCCGACUACACGAAGCUGGAAUCGCUAGUAAUCGCGAAUCCGAAUGUCGCGGUGAAUACGUUCCCGGGUCUUGUACACACCGCCCGUCACACCAUGGGAGUCGGGAAUGCCCGAAGUCAGUGACCCAACCUUUGGAGGGAGCUGCCGAAGGCAGGUCUGAUAACUGGGGUGAAGUCGUAACAAGGUAAC
rnacentral:rRNA from 1 species